AUUUGUGUGGUGGCGGUGGUGGUACCAUAGCAAAUGAGGAUUAACCGAGGCGUGGUUAUUGCUAGUUGAAAACUUUACCCAAUACCCACGUCGACGCCCUAACACAUGGGUGGUGUGCGCAAUUAAUAUUAUGAACUUUCCAACGGAA